rnacentral:tRNA from 1 species
GGACGGUUAGCUCAGUUGGGAGAGCACCGCCCUUACAAGGCGGGGGUCACUGGUUCAAGCCCAGUACCGUCCA